GACGAAGGGUCCAAGCGUUAUUCGGAAUUACUGGGCUUAAAGGGUGCGUAGGCGGCGCGGAAAGUUGGGUGUGAAAUCCCUCGGCUCAACCGAGGAACUGCGCCCAAUACUACCGUGCUUGAGGGAGAUAGAGGUGAGCGGAACUUAGGGUGGAGCGGUGAAAUGCGUUGAUAUCCUAAGGAACACCGGUGGCGAAAGCGGCUCACUGGAUCUCUUCUGACGCUGAGGCACGAAAGCUAGGGUAGCGAACGGG
rnacentral:rRNA from 1 species